CAAACAGUGACAUCAUGUUCAAAUGACUUUCGGAUAGCCCCCAAAACACCAAUAAGUAAGGGAAUAUAAAUGACACAGAUAUAAAUAUAAAUAAAUGUUUUCAUUACGUUACAAAUGAAGCGUCCACUUUUGCCACAGACAUGCAAGCGUUACAAACAUAACGAGAAGUAAUACUUUCUGAUUUUGAUUUGGAAAGCAUUAGAAGUCCAGGAAAU